rnacentral:lncRNA from 1 species
GUGACAGCCUCAGGAGGCCCUGACGGCAUGUACCCCAGGUACUUGGGGCGAAGUUUGCUUUUACACAUUUUAGGGAGACAUAAGACAUCAGUCCGCAGGUGUAAGGUGUACAUUGGUUCCAUCUGGAAAGGCGGGAAAAUACAAAGGUGGGGGCCUUCCAGGUUAUAGGUAGACAGGAGACAAAGGAUUGCAUUGUUUUGAGUCUUUGAUGAGCCUUUCGGUGAAUACACAAUUUACUUGUGAGUGGGGGUAGAGGAAUAGUCACUUAGACCUUAGUGUGGCUCAGUGAAGCUGCAUUUUACAUAGGGCAGAGGAAGCAAUCAUAUAGGCAUUUGUCUCAGGUGAGCUGGGGGAUGACUUCCUGUCCCACACCUGGGAAGAUCAGCUAGCAACUACAUUGCCAGGGAGAAAUUCAGCAGAACUCUUUCAGGGUAAAGAUCUUGAGGCCCAUGAGGAAUUUCCUUGUGGACAAAUUAUGAGGGAGGUCUGUAUGUAGCUUUUUUCUCUUUGUAGCCACCUUAUUUAGGAAUAAAAUGGGAGGCAGGUUUGCCUGAGGCAGUUCCCAGCUUGGCUUUUCCCUUUGGCUUAGUGAGUUUGGGGUCCUGAGAUUUAUUUUCCUUUCAUGAUAGAAACAAAAGUUAAGUUCCCACAGCAUGUUUCUG